rfam:Beta vulgaris subsp. vulgaris Bvchr3.sca011.con0056.1, whole genome shotgun sequence.
CAGCAUUGCCGUUAAUGUUAGAAUGAUCGAAUCUUCCAUUGAACGUUUGCAAUAUGAAAAAUAGGACGAUUCUCUGUGACUUUUGAACUCUGUGCUUGUGUCGGUUGUGGACUCGAACAAAUUGCUACAUU